UUCAGCAAAACUUUCACAGUGACUGACUCAC
rnacentral:piRNA from 1 species